CCAACGGCCCUCUUUAGGGCCACAAUUGCCAUCUACGAAUCAUGA
rfam:Heligmosomoides polygyrus genome assembly, scaffold: HPBE_scaffold0001851